CAGGGUUCUUAUCCUCCACAGUUCUGUGUAAAUGUAAAAACACUUAAGUGAUGUUGAAUCAUUAGAAAAGCUUGAGGAAAUAUCUAUUAGCACAAUGUAGUGUAGAAGUGUAUUGCUAUUUAAUCACUAGCACUCACUUUCUACUCCCAUUCUCUUCUUGCACGCGUCCACAUACUGAUUCAUUCAAAGCUUUUCCAGCUGAUUACUCAAUUGACUUUAAAUGACUCAGAAAACAGUUGCUCACGGCUUCUUUACUGUGUGUAACAGAUACGCUAGACUGACAGGAUGUUUUCAGAUGUUCUCAGCUUGACUGGGAUACAGUAUGACCUGAGGUGACCCCAACACUCUUACAACUAAAGAGAUAUUUCCUCUUCUACUCAGCAGCAGCAUGUAUCAAUGAGGUUCAUUGACCCAAGACCCAAAUGCAGCGAGAACACAGUCCAUCAACAGUCCUGCAUUGCUCUCUGAAACCUGGUCUCAGCCGUCACAGGCUUCUUGUGAGUGAGGAGGAGCCGAUUCAUUUCUAA
rnacentral:lncRNA from 1 species